rnacentral:lncRNA from 10 species
GUCGCCUUUUGCAGGGCUGCAGGGACAGGUAUGAGAGAACCAAGAGUGGGUGAGAGGGGCUGGGCCUGAUGUAAACGUGUGCAGGGCUCGUAGGGGCCUGGGGCUGGGGGAAGCUCACAGGGGGAGAGGUAGUAGGCGUGACGGGUGUGACAGGAGACCGCAGCGUGGGACCGGCCAUCAUUCCAGGCAGGGCAGGGGCGGCAGAGACAGGAGCCCAGAUGGAACGUAGGCACCCUAUAUAGCGGACGUGGCUGUCAUCACCGAUUCAGGACGUGGGUGGGAUGACAUUGGUUUCCGUGUCUGUCCCCUCUGCAGUCUCUCCUCCGCGAUGGCUGCCCCUGUCUGCUCAUCCUCACCUGGCCUUCAGCAGGUGCUCAGCUGACAUCGGUGAGGGAAUGGGAGUGAUUCGUCAUCACAGUAACCGUGUACUUCAGAGAUGGGAUCUUUCUACGUCACCCAGGCUGGAAUGCAAUGGUUAUUCACAGGUGUGAUCAUAGCUGGUCUUGACCUCGUGGGCUCAAGUGAUCCUCCUGCCUCAGCCUCCUGAACAGCUGGGACUACAGGUGUGUGCCACCACAUUUGGCUUACCAUUAUUUUAGAAGGACUUACACCUGUCUUGCUAUCUGGAGUCUGCAGAUUUCUUACCCAAGGUAAGCUCAAGCAGGGCCUGUUGUCUGGAACAAGACCUGUUCAAAAUGUUUGCCUUAAUGCUACAGUAGUAAUGGUGAUAGUCAAUAGUAGCUUGCUAUGGGUCAGGUACUGUUGUGAGAACAGAAGCUCUCAAAGGGGUAUUGGACUCUGGGGAUGGCUGAAACACUUCGUGGGGGCGGGGGUUGGUGUCCACGAGACCAAAUUAUUAUUAUUAAUUAUCUAAGAUGGAGUCUUGCUCUGUCACCCAGGUUGGAGUGCAGUGGCACGAUCUUGGUUCACUGCAACCUCCGCCUCCUGGGUUCAAGCAAUUCUCCUGCCUCAGCUUCCCGAGUAGCUGGGAUUACAGGCACCCACCACCACGCGUGGCUAAUUUUUGUAUUUGUAGUAAAGACGGCGUUUCACUAUGUUGGCCAGGCUGGUUGUGAACUCCUGACCUCAUGUGAUCCACCCACCUCGGCCUCCCAAAGUGCUGGGAUUAUAGGCGUGAGCCACCGCGCCCUGCCUUUUUUUUUUUUAUUUUGAGACAAGAGUCUCAUUCCGUCACUCAGGCUGGAGUGCAGUGGUGGGAUCUUGGCUCACUGCUAACCUCCGCCUCUCAGGCUCAGGUGAUUCUCAUGCCUCAGCCUCCGGAGUAGCUGGGAUUACAGUUUGUGCAACCACGCAUGGCUAAUUUUUUUUGUAUUUUUAGUAGAGAUGAGGUUUUGCCAUGUUGGUCGGGCUGGUCUCGAACUCCUGACCUCAAGUGAUCCAUCUGCCUUAGCCUCCCAAAGUGCUGGGAUUACAGGCGUGCAUGAUGCCCGGCCUCCUUGUCGCUUUCAAACAGUGCUUCUAGGAGCUAACAAAGAAGUGCCUCUUUGUAUGAUUCCCCAAGAGAGACCCACCCAGGCAGCACCUAGCCAAGGGACAAAGACCACUCCUAUCCAAAAGCCCUUUGAUUCAACUUUUUUUUAUUUUUUUUUUCUUUUUGAAUGUCAUGCAAUAAUUCACAGUCCCAAGCCCACGGU